AGAGCGAACGUUAGCGGCGGGCCUAACACAUGGAAGUCGAACGAGAAUGAGGGGCGAACUCCUCUAGUAAAGUGGCGGACGGGUGCGUAACACGUAGGUAAUUUACCUUCCGGCGGGGGACAACAGUCCGAAAGGAUUGCUAAUACCGCAUACGUCGGCGAGAUCUCCGGAUUUUGCCGGGAAAGAUGGCCUCUCCUUGGAAGCUGCCACCGGAAGAUGAACCUGCGGCCCAUCAGCUUGUUGGUGAGUAACGGCUCACCAAGGCGAAGACGGGUAGCUGGUCUGAGAGGAUGAUCAGCCACACUGGGACUGCGACACGGCCCAGACUCCUACGGGAGCAGCAGUGGGGAAUAUUGGGCAAUGGGCGAAAGCCUGACCCAGCCACGCCGCGUGAGUGAUGAAGGCCUUCGGCGUAAAGCUCUGUGGGAGGGACGAAGUAAGCCCGGUGACUAAUGUCGACCGGCCCGUGACGGUAACCUCCGUUAGCGAAGCACCGGCUAACCAUCGUGCCACGCA
rnacentral:rRNA from 1 species